CAAAAACGUGGAACUGCUUCGAGGGCCCUCCGCUAAGGUGGCGUGCCGAAACCAGAGAAAAAUUGCCUUCACCAAAAACAGGCUCAUUGGCAAUCUCCCUACUCAUCUCUGCUGCCAGUGUAUAUCGGAACACGCCGUUAGACUCCUGGAAGAGAAAUGGCGCAGUUAAAAGUGACUCCGUGGGCGCUUGUAAGGGACUAGGGUCCUAACUAGUGCCAACAUAUAUAAAAGAGGAAGAAGAAAAGUGACUCCAACAUGUUGAGACAGAGAUAUAUCUCUUUCUCACUUCGCAAUGUCCAGUUCUCCACUUACGUGAAGUCAGCAUUGUAACAUUUACUUUGUGAACUUUUUCUUUUGCUAAAAAAUUGUUGGUUGCUCAUUUUUUUUUUGGAAAAUGGAAAAUGAAAUUUGGAAUCUGAAGUUCGCCCCAAGUCUUAUUUUUUCAUAAAAAUAAGUUUUUUUGUGUUUAAUCGAUGGCAAAUUUUUUGUUGUUUACGAAUUACCUACUAAAAAAAUUUGUUUAUGAGCGGUUUCGUUGAAAACAAAACAAAACCGUUCGUGGACAACGAGAUCGACAAUGCCGCGUGGCUAUGAACUAGGCUGCAUACAUCUAAUGCAUAUUUCUUAAUUAAAAUCAUCCUCAUAAGUCGACAAGGACCUCAUCGAUGUCAAAUUUUUUGUUGUUCACAGAUUACCUAAUUAUAAAAUUUGUUGGUAAACGGUUUCGUAGGAAAAGAAAAGCCGUAAGUGCAUCUCCGGAGUGUGAAGUUAGCUCCAAUUACAGUCUUGAUAUCUCAAAAAAGCCGUACGAUUGGUUGAAAAGCCGGUGCGAACGGUUUUGUUUUCUUUUUGUUUUCAUUGAAACCGCUUACCAACAAAUUUUUUUAUUAGUUAAUUCGUGUCCCAACAAAAAAUUUGCCAUCGAUUGCAUACAAAAAAAAGUUAUUUGUGUAAAAAAUAAGACUUUUGGGGCUAACUUCAUAUUCCAGAUUUUAUUAUCCAUUUUCCAAAAAGAAAAAAGAGCAACCAACAAAUUUUCUAAUUGUUCCAACAAAAAGCCAACAAUUUUUUGGCAAUAGAAAAGUUCAAAAAGUAAAUGUUAUAGUGCUAAUUUCAUGUAGGUCAGUUCUGCUCACUACUCAAGCGUUUUUUAGUACUGAUACUCAUAUCGUUAUAUGAAGAGUGUCCGCGUCAAAAAAGAGAACAACAGUGAAACAUGAGAAGCCGGUAACGACGAAGAAAACAAUUUAAUGCUUAACUAAAGAAGAUUAAUUCUCAAAAAUCAGCAUAUCUCCCGUGCCCACUGUUCCCAUUAGUGGUCAGCAACAAAGUCCUAGAGGGCUCUUUCUGUUAAUAUCUCCUCGGUGUCGUAAUUAACACAAAACAAAAUAUUUAGUUGAAAAUGUUGUAAAAAAGUCAGGAUAUCAAAAGAUAUUGCUUUCUCACCAUAAUUUCGAUGUAUUUGUUAAAAAACGUUCAUAUUAUUAAGAAUUUCUGUAACAUCAUAAAAGAGGGCGACCGUGCGUUACGGUGGGCAACAAAUGACAAUAAUACGAAAUAAAUUCAAUGGAUGUACAAGUACGCACAUUUUCCUCGUAUAACCAUCACACAAAUAUGUGUAUAUAUAUUACUAUAAUAUAUGCACAUAAUAUUAAUAUUCAAUCAUUUCAAUAUUAAUAUUAUUCGUUAAUACGAUAUACUCGGACAUAACAAAUUCUACAAUCAGUUAAUGCUUAAGAAAUUCUCGUAGCUUUUAAAGGUCAUUUAUUUCAAUAAACUCGUAACCACCACGUAUAUCAAUCCUUCAUUGAAAUAGUAACUGAUGAUCCCCGACAGGUCUUAUCUACAUCGGGAUCGGCUGCGCGUUUGGACUAUGGAUUCCAUUUGUGCGUCGGAAGACUAUGCCAUAUUCAAGAGAAAAUGGAUGUCAGGUUUCACAAGCGUGGAACUUAUCACAACCAUAAUGACGCUCUAUGGCACAGUUUUUUAGCG